rnacentral:rRNA from 1 species
UUGUAGUCUGCAACCCGACUACAUGAAGCUGGAAUCGCUAGUAAUCGCGAAUCAGCAUGUCGCGGUGAAUACGUUCCCGGGUCUUGUACACACCGCCCGUCACACCAUGGGAGUUGGAAAUGCCCGAAGUCAGUGACCCAACCGAAAGGAGGGAGCUGCCGAAGGCAGGUUCGAUAACUGGGGUGAAGUCGUAACAAGGUAGC